AUUGAACGCUGGCGGUAGGCCUAACACAUACAAGUCGAACGGCAGCACAGUAAGAGCUUGCUCUUACGGGUGGCGAGUGGCGGACGGGUGAGGAAUACAUCGGAAUCUACUUUUUCGUGGGGGAUAACGUAGGGAAACUUACGCUAAUACCGCAUACGACCUACGGGUGAAAGCAGGGGAUCUUCGGACCUUGCGCGAUUGAAUGAGCCGAUGUCGGAUUAGCUAGUUGGCGGGGUAAAGGCCCACCAAGGCGACGAUCCGUAGCUGGUCUGAGAGGAUGAUCAGCCACACUGGAACUGAGACACGGUCCAGACUCCUACGGGAGGCAGCCGUGGGGAAUAUUGGACAAUGGGCGCAAGCCUGAUCCAGCCAUACAGCGUGGGUGAAGAAGGCCUUCGGGUUGUAAAGCCCUUUUGUUGGGAAAGAAAAGCAGCAGGUUAAUACCCCGCUGUUCUGACGGUACCCAAAGAAUAAGCACCGGCUAACUUCGUG
rnacentral:rRNA from 1 species